AACAUAAACUUUAUGAAAUAAAUCAAAACUUUGAAUCAAAACACCAAACUUUUUUGUUCUUGGCAAAAAUGUCAAGAACAAUGAAGAACACAUCAUGAAAAACCAAAAAAUUUCCAUGAACAUUUUUCACCCAAAAACAUUCCAAAACCAUUCAAACUUAAGGGAAAUAACAUAUAACCAAACUAGGGUACAUAGGGGUUCCAAAAGUCACUUGAAAACACUUUUAACAAGUCAAACAUGAACCUAAAAAAAAACACCCUUUGGAUUUGGCCGAAUUUUCCCAAAAACAUGGCACCAAAUUUUAGCUCCAAUAUUCAUGCUCAUAUGAACUACAUCUACAACAUUUGAGAUGGCAAAUUUUCUAACAAAAUUUACAUUCAAAGAAACAAGAAUAAAGCUUGUAACAUAUUACAACUUUUAAAUCACAAACUAUGAACUACAAAACCCAAAAGGAUUCACCAACUACUAGACCUAGGCUCUGAUACCACUUGAAGGAAUUUUUGUGAAAAACAUGUUCAUUUAAGCAACAUCUAUAGCAUGCAAUUAACAAUAAAAAGGCGGAAUCAUGCUUGUAUGCACUUAAAAACAAAAAACAUUACCCAUGAAAUUCAAAGCCUAGUAGAUUGGUGAACCAAGACUCAACUCAAAACAAAGUGAGUUGAGAAAUUAUAC
rnacentral:lncRNA from 1 species